UACGGAGGAUGCAAGCGUUAUCCGGAAUGAUUGGGCGUAAAGCGUCCGCAGGUGGCUAUGUAGGUCUGCUGUUUAAAGAGUCUAGCUCAACUAGAUAAGAGCAGUGGAAACUACAAGGCUAGAGUACGUUCGGGGCAGAGGGAAUUCCUGGUGUAGCGGUGAAAUGCGUAGAGGUCAGGAAGAACACCAGUGGCGAAGGCGCUCUGCUAGGCCGCAACUGACACUCAUGGACGAAAGCUAGGGGAGCGAAUGGG
rnacentral:rRNA from 1 species